rnacentral:tmRNA from 1 species
CCCCUUUGCAUCGCCGCGCCGCCACCCUAUAUUCGCUGUGUCCGGGCAACCGGACUAUGGACAUAAACGCGCUCGUAAUAAGCGGAUCGGACCCGGGGGCGGUACCCGGCGGCUCCACCAGACACCCCUCGUUGGGGGGCCAUGGGGCCGAAAUAGGAUCGACGAACGUCUAAAGGGGUUUGCUUUGUCCCGGUGAGGUACCACCG